rnacentral:rRNA from 1 species
CGGAGAGGGAGCAUGAGAAACGGCUACCACAUCUAAGGAAGGCAGCAGGCGCGUAAAUUACCCAAUCCUGACUCAGGGAGGUAGUGACAAGAAAUAGCAAGCCGGGAACCUCAUGGUUUCACGGUAUUGCAAUGAGAACAAUUUAAAACCCUUAGCGAGAAUCAAGUGGAGGACAAGUCUGGUGCCAGCACCCGCGGUAAUUCCAGCUCCACUAGCGUAUAUUAAAGUUGUUGCAGUUAAAAAGCUCGUAGUUGAACCUCUGUCUGGGGCUAGUUUUGGCUUUGGUCAGGCUAGUUCUAGGCAUCCGCCUACAAGACUUAGAGGGCAUUCAGUUGUUCACUAGGAGGAGUAGGCAUUUUACUUUGAAAAAAUUAGAGUGUUUAAGGCAGGCAAUCGCCCGCAUAUAUUAGCAUGGAAUAAUAGAAUAGGACACUUUUCCAUUUCGUUGGUUAUUGGAAUCGUGUAAUGAUUAAUAGGGACAGUUGUGGGCAUUUGUAUUUAAUUGUCAGAGGUGAAAUUCUUGGAUUUAUUAAAGACAAACUAACGCGAAAGCAUUUGCCAAGGGUGUUUUCAUUAAUCAAGAACGAAAGUUAGGGGAUCAAAGACGAUCAGAUACCGUCCUAGUCUUAACUAUAAACUAUUCCGACUCAAUGUUUGACUGGCUUAUAUAACCAGUUGAGCGUUGUAUGAGAAAUCAAAGUCUUUAGGUUCUGGGGGGAGUAUGGUUGCAAAGCUGAAACUUAAAGGAAUUGACGGAAGAGCACAACCAGGAGUGGAUUCUGCGGCUUAAUUUGACUCAACACGGGGAAACUUACCAGGUUAAAACAAUAGUGGGAUUGACAGUUUGAGAGCGCUUUCUUGAUUGGUUGGGUGGUGGUGCAUGGCCGUUCUUAGUUGGUGGAGUGAUUUGUCUGCUUAAUUGCGUUAACGAACGAGACCUUAACCUGCUUACUAGACUGGCGAUCAUCAAUCGUUAGCUCUUCUUAGAGGGACUUUGGUUGUUUUAACUCCAAGGAAGUUUGAGGCAAUAACAGGUCUGUGAUGCCCUUAGAUAUCCUGGGCCGCACGCGUCAUACAAUGACUAGUUCAGAAAGUUUUCUCCUGACCCGAAAGGGGAUGGGUAAUCUUGAUAAUACUAGUCGUGUUAGGGAUCGAUCUUUGCAAUUAUAGAUCUUGAACGAGGAAUUCCUAGUAAGUGCGGUUCAUCAGACCGUACUGAUUACGUCCCUGCUCUUUGUACACACCGCCCGUCGCUUCUACCGAGUGGGUGGUCCGGUGAGAUAAUUGAACUUCGCAGGUAACUGAGAGGAAAGAUUAUCAAACCUAUCCACCUCGAGGAAGAAGAAGUCGUAACAAGGUU